GAACAAACAAAACAUCCCAUGCGAGAUGUCAGCCUACGCGAACUUGUUGUAGACGUUGUGUUAGUAAUUAAGCCAUAAAAGCCUCGUACUCAUUUGUCCUGCCAGUGUGUUUUACUCCUAGAGUGAAAUGGGUGGUGCUGAUCGAUGUGCAGUUUAUAAAUGCAACAAUGAUCGACGGUAUAAGGACAGAUUAGUUAUCAAAAGAUCAUGUAAAAGAACUUAAGUGGCAUUCGUGUCCUGUCAAGUGGCGUCCUUUGUGGCUGCGGUUGAUCAACCGGAGUGACCUAAAGAUGCUAUCAGACCACACAAGAGUUUGCAGCAACCAUUUCGUCUUGCAUUUGAGAAGUUACAUUUCACUACCACAUGCUGCACUGAUUCUGGCUGAUUACAGUGUCUGCAUAACCCAGUUGGAUGUUUUCCUAUUACACGAAGUGUCUUGUUAAGUGCUGUAUGGCCUAUUCUUAGACAUGUGAGGACGGUUUCUUCUCUUCUGUUUCUCCCCACCUUUCUUCCAACACCCACAUGCUUUUGUAUUUUGUAGAUAUGUCUUCCUGUAUCACUGGUGUCCCAGUACUCCUGCCAUAUUUUUUCUGUUUGACUCUUAAUGAUGGUUUUAGCCUCAGCUUUUCAUAAUGGAGCUUGCAGAUGAAUUGUUUGUGAUUUCACUGAUUGUUUUACCAAUAUGUCUACUCCCUCAUUUCCUUCUACCCCUACAUAAGCAGGAACCCAAAUGAAACAUACACUUAUUCUGUGUAUUCUGUAUAUGAUAUAUUUCAUUUAUGAUAUCUUGCCUGCAUGAUUUCCCUGACCUGAUGCUCAUGAGUGCUGAUAAACUAUCUGUUGCUAUUAGUGUAUUCUUUUGGUUGUUUUCCUCUACCCCUAGUAAUCCUAGUAUUAUGGCCACAAGUUCUACUGUGUAUACUGAAAGAUGGUCUGUUGUUCUCCUUUUUAUAGCUGUGCCAUAUUGAUUUAUUUAUUUAUUUAUUCUGAACAGUAAAGAAGAUAUAAAAACAAAAAAACAAAAAAAUUAAAAAUGCAAUAAUCAAAACAUCAUCAUAAACAAACAGAAUAGCAUAGCCACAAGGCAGUAACAUAAUAAUGUUCGGAAAGGAUUAGGAAGAAGUAAAUAACUUAUCAAAUCCUAACCCUCUAUACCACCACUAAUCAAACGUCACUUUCUGCCAUAAUAAACUAUAUAUACACACACAAAAGGAAACAAAAGCAACAAAAAAAGAAAACAUACCAACAUGGUAUAAUAUCAACCAAACCAAAUCAUAUAUACAGAUACUUAUGUUAAGCAUAUCUACACACACAAUACAUACAUAUGCACAUACCUAUAACUAUACACAUUCAUAUCAUAAUUAUGCUUAUUAUAUACAAUUAUAGCACUGAGACUUUUCCUAGAGAAGAGCUGGGAAUAGUCCACUGAACAGCACACAUGUUUCCUUGACUUGGAAAAAGCGUUCGAUCGCAUACCGAGAGGAAAAAUGUGGAAAGUGAUAGGAGAAACCGGCAUUAGUAAUAGGCUCCUUAAAGCACAUAUGAGAACCAGCGCAGUACUGUACUGGGAGGCACUACUUACUUUGAAACCAACACCGGUGUACGCCAAGGAAGUGUUCUCUCUCCACUUCUGUUCAUUGUCUACUUUAACCGUACUAUAUAAAAUAUAGAAAGGAAAGACUUCGAAAUCGAACGCUUUGGGUAUGCAGAUGACAUUGCACAAACCGGAAACAGUACACGAAAGCUACAAAGAGUUAUGACCCAGUGGGACCAAGAGCUGAUUACAGCAGGAUUAAAACUCAGCUAUGAGAAGUAUAUGAAGUAUAUGAGUAUAUGAGAGUGGGUCGAAAGCAAGGUGGAGGCAGCAUUUCCAUAAAUAACCACAUCCUCAAAAAAACGACUAGUUUUAACUACCUAGGUAGCAAAAUGACUUCGGAUAACUUGACCGAGGAAGAAAUUAACAACAGGAUCACAAAAUUCACUAAAUAUUUGUGUGCCCUGUAUCCUCUCCUGAAGGAGAAGAGUAUACCCAAAGAUGUAAAAAUUUGUAUAUACACAACCAUUUUAAGAUCAGUCCUUCUGUACGGGAGCGAAGUCUGGACUCUAACUAAAAAACUGAAAAGUAGGCUACAAGCCACCGAGAUGAGAGUGCUGCGACUCAUCUUUGGGGUUACCAGAAAAGACAGAAUCAGAAACGAAGUCAUCUGCCAAACGCUGUCUGUUGAGUCCAUACUGGCAUUAGUUGAAAGAAAUCAACUGAGGUGGUUUGGACACCUGUACAGUAUGCCAGAGGACAGAGAUGUAAAGAGAAUCUUUAACUGGACACCCAAAAAGAAAAGGCCAGCAGGUAGACCAAGAAAAAGAUGGCUGGAUCAGAUCACUGAGAUAACCAGAAGAGAAGAACCAGACUUCCAAGCAGGCAAGAAAAUGGCUGAGGAUAGAACAGUAUGGAGAGCAUUCAUAAAGAGGCUGACAACUUACAGGCCGUUGGCCUAAAGGUGUCAGGGUGAGAAGGUGAGUGAGAAUAUACAUAUAUAUACAC